GGGGCUGUGGCUUGGUGGUAGAGCACUUGCCUCACGCGCAUGAGGCACUGGGUUCGAUUCUCAGCACCACG
rnacentral:tRNA from 1 species